UCUUAAUUUGUUUUAAAAUUAUACGUUUCAGCACCCAGAAAAUCGUAUAAAAAGGAGAAGUUGAUUUCAUUUGAAAUAUUCAAGUCCAAACUUCAAAAUGGCAAAGUUGUUUGUUCUCGUUAGCGGUUUACUCUACGUACUUUCUAUGUUGAGCAUGGCAGUUGCUGAAGCACCCAUGCAGGAAUAUUUUGUAGUAACAGCUGGGAAAAAAUAAAAUGCCUUUCAUCUGUAAAUCUCUUAUGAUGUUUAUAAAAUAAAUAGCAAAAUAAAAAUAAAAUUAAUUUUGUGAUAA